AGUCUGAGUGUGUAAAGUACAUGUCUGGGCAUGGUCUCUUGGCCAGGUCCCAGGGUUUGCAGCCCACCCGACUGGCCCCCAAAGCUGACCUCUUGCAUCAGAAGUGAUCCCACGCAGUGCUGAUGACAGAUGGUUUGUGACAACUCACCCUGGUUUGGGAAAUCUCCCUGCUAAUGUUCUCUUAUCUCAGCGGAGAGAACUGUGUUUGAAUACUAACCAUUGGUCCCAUUUAUUGAUCAUAUGCUCUGCCCUAGGCAGCCUGCUAAGGGUGCUUUACAUAGUGCUUUCCCACAGUCCCCCACCAGCAUCCAAUGGGGUAGUGUGAUCAGCUCUGCUUUACACAUGAGGACACUGAGACGUGGUUACGUUAGGUAACUUGCUCAAAGCCACCCAGGUAGGAGGUGGUAACACCAGUAUUUGAACCAAGCAGUCUGAUCCAGGACCUGCUCCUACCCACCACAGUGCCCACUGAUAUGGCGUGUCUCUCUGCUUACAUCUCUUUAAGGAUUCGACCAAUGCAUAGGAACGAUCAUCCUCAUUGUUAUCAUCAGUCUUAUCCACCAUCAGGGCACAGAAGCUUCCAUGUGGCUGACACUUUUGGCUAAUUUCCUAUAUCCUUGAUGUUAGGGAUAAUAAUACAGUUAUUUGCUCAUUGAAUUCUGCCUCUUUGAGUCGACAAAUAUUUAGCGAGCCUUCCCUUUGUGCCAGGCAUUUUAUUAAAAAGACCAAGCAAAGAGGGCCACUUCCUUUCAAAGAACUUACACUCUAGAAAGAUAAAUAAUCUUCCCAAAUUCCCAAGAUGGUGCACCAGGCCCCCUGUGAUGGGCCCUGCCUCCUCUUCAGUCUCAUUGCUCUACAUUCCCCACAGCCUUUGUGUUCUUUUUUUUGAGACUCCUACCACCUCAGAGCCUUUGCACCUUCUGUUCCAUCAGCCUGAAUUACUCUGCACCGUUGCCUCCUUAGCAACUCCGCAUACUUCAGGUCUCAGCUUAAACCCCUCUUCUUAAAAGGAUUCCCUCUCAAUCCCAAAGAUUAGGUCAGGUUCCACCUGUUACAUCGCAUCACAGCCCCCUCUGCUUUUAAUUCUUGUAAUUAUUUGAUUAAUCCACCGGCUCCUUAAGGACAUCAGUAAUGCUUUUGUUGUUUCCCACUGUAUUCCCAGCACACAACAGGUGCUCACCAAAUACUCUGAAGUGAAUGAAGAUUAUAAAUUUUUUAUUAAAGCAAAAACUGGGGUAUGUUAGUCCCUAGUCUUCCAAGCAGACAUCAAGACAGGUUUACACCUGCCAGGAUUUUAUUAGGGGGAAGGCAUACGAAAAAAAAUGGAGAGGAAACUAGGAGAGUCGUCAGACUGUGAGGCAAGUCUGACCCUAGAGUGAAGAAGGGAAGAAAGGAAGGUUCGGAAGACCGUCCUCUACAUUCUAGCUCAGUCCAAGAGAGGUUCGGCGAGGCCAUCGAGGAACCCACCAGCCAAAGCUGAAGGUCAGAGGAGUGCCCUGUCUCCCGGGAACCCACGCUUUGGCAUCACCACCGCACGCACUCAUUCGCUCGGAGCGCCAUGGGAGGCGUGGUCCGGCAGCUGCGGCACUCACUCAUUGGCUGGGAGCACCGUGGGAGGGGUGGUCUGGCAGCUGGGGAGUGCAGUUCAGGGCUGGCCGCAGCCCAGCGAUCAUCAUUUAUGCUCCAUGGAGGAGGAAGUCUCCUUCUUCUGGCUGCCAUGUGGGCGUUCAGAGGCGAGAGGAGGUGACUUCUUGUUUAUAGGGAGGAGAAAAAUUACUAAAGGUAUGUCUUCCACAAAAGGGCGGGGAAUCUUAAUUUUGAGGCUCAGCAAGUAUCUGUUGAACACAUACUACUCUUCGACACGGUGGAAGACACUGUAAGACUGGGCACGCCUCAAAAAGCUUAUCAGCUAGUUAAGUGACAAAGUCAAGUCACAUACAUGCUCCUGACCCUCAGUCUUCCCAUUUCGAAAAUAAAGAUAACUCCACCCACCUGUGUGACGUGUGACACUUAGAUCCAGUGGCCUCCCUGCAUAAGGUAGGGGCUCAACAAAUGAGAUUUGAAUAUGAGUUAAAAAAUAACGAUUUGUUGUCUUCCUCACUUUUUCGCCUUUUCUAGUUACUUCAGCAGGGCUGAUUUUUUAAAAGUUUUCGAAGAAACUUUUGGCUUGGGAUAUGGGCUUUCCUUGUAAUUACGCUCCUCAACAGUCCCCUGAGGCUUUUUUUUAAAGGAAUAUUUCAAGUCAAAGAACCGCAGUUUAAAUACGUGAUCUGCACUAAGGGAAGAUUUAGUAUCGAGUUACCACAUUUAAGGAAAUCUCUGCGGAAAGGCUUUGUGGUGUGCGGUUGGCCCAGUGGGCUCACGGGGUUGGUUUCUUAACUCUUGACCCCAAGGCAGUGUUGAGUUUGUUCUCCGGUCCAGCGCAGGCGUUGGGACAUUGCUGAGUCAGGGUUCUUUCCAGAGAGGAAGGUGGGGGAUCGCCGAGGGAACUGGAGACUGGGGUGGUGUGGACCUCCUCCCAUUUCCUCACUGCCAAAAAUCGUGAGAAAGAAGAGGAAACAGAUUUUCCAGGUGAAGAGGCAGCGUUUGAUCCCGGACUCAAUGCUGGUCGUCAGAGAAAGGGGUGAAAGAGUCUCCCGACUGAGAAAGCAGCACGUGCAGCCGCGGAGUGUGAUCGCCCGGCUGUAGGGGGACAAGUGGUUCGUGAUGGCUGGAAGAAAGGGAGGGCUCCAAGGACACGUGAGAAGGGAAAAGUGAGGUGGCGGGUAAACCAUGGCAGUCUUUGAGAAACUUGUUCAGGGCCAUCAUAGGUCAAGGAAUGCCAUUGCUGUUUUAUAAGCAGGGGACAAAGUUUGAGCUGUUUAGGAAAGAGUGUCUAGGUUAAGGACAGAAAUGAGGCAGAGUGAUCAGUGGUCAGAGUAGUGCAGUAAUUUAGGUGAGAGAAUCAUUUCUGUAGAAUUGAAUAUAAGGGGCAGGUCUGAGAGACAGAAUGGAUGUGGGGAUGUCGAAGAAAAGGGCUUUGAAGGUGAUCCAAGGUUUCAAGCCUGUGCAUUCCAGGGGCGGUGGGUGGGGGAGGAUGGCACUGAGAGGGGACCCCAGGAGAAGGGUCUCCUAGGCUGGGAAUGGGGAUCUUCACAUGGAUCACGUUGCAUUUGAGGGGCUGGCAGGUGCACCUGUGGACAUGACACUGGAAAUUCAGAUUUGGAGCUCAAGAAUGUAGUCAGGGCUGAAGAUGAAGGUUUGGGAGUUGUCGUCACUGGGGUAGUAGUUGAAAUGGCAAAUUAUUUAGCUUCCUCCAUCACCUAAAAAAGGGCUUGGGUUUCCGGUUGCAUGGGGAAGGGCAGGUGGACGGGUGUUUUCUGGUGCCUGGAUGGCUAGUCCUGAUCCCCCCAACACAGUCCUUAGAUCCUUGAGAUUCCAAGAAAGGAGUGCAUUAACUCUCUCCUCCGUUGCUUAGCAUAGCCUCUUCUUCAGUUGUCCAGCUUCUAAUUCUGCAAACAGCAGCUGGAGAGGGUGAGUGAGGGCCAACUCAACAGCUGUGUGUUGGGAAUCAAGAAGGCGUCCAGGAUGAAGAUACUAUCUGGCUACAGCUGCUGCCAAGAUGACUCUUAGGAGGAAAAUACAUAAGAAGAGAAGAUUAUUACUGUUUGAAAAGUGCUUUGAGAUCCUCUGAUGAAAGGAAGCCGUGCUGGGAGGCAGGGGAGAAGGGCUGGAAGGAAGACGGGAUGUUGGAGCAAACUGGAGUAGGUCAUGUUGACAGGGAGGAAGACAGCCUGGGAGCCCUGCACGUCUGAGUGUGGACCCAGGGCCUUCCUCUGUUCCCAGGGGAGUUUGCACGCCCUCACCCCCUUGCCAUCUGAACUCUGGUGGCUUUUAGGGCAGUCCGCGUGUUCAAGUUUUACCAAAGGAGUCAUGACCGCUGCAUCAUCAUGGAGAUACCACCUUUGAUUUUUCGGGGAACUGCAGAAUUGUUUUCUGUUGUAUUAAUAUUUGGGUAAUAAUCAUUGAUUAUUAAAAUCUUUAUUCUCUGC